rnacentral:rRNA from 1 species
AUUGAACGCUGGCGGCAUGCUUUACACAUGCAAGUCGAACGGUAACAGGCCGCAAGGUGCUGACGAGUGGCGAACGGGUGAGUAAUGCAUCGGAACGUGCCCAGUCGUGGGGGAUAACGCAGCGAAAGUUGCGCUAAUACCGCAUACGAUCUAUGGAUGAAAGCGGGGGACCGUGAGGCCUCGCGCGAUUGGAGCGGCCGAUGUCAGAUUAGGUAGUUGGUGGGGUAAGGCUCACCAAGCCGACGAUCUGUAGCUGGUCUGAGAGGACGACCAGCCACACUGGGACUGAGACACGGCCCAGACUCCUACGGGAGGCAGCAGUGGGGAAUUUUGGACAAUGGGCGCAAGCCUGAUCCAGCAAUGCCGCGUGCAGGAAGAAGGCCUUCGGGUUGUAAACUGCUUUUGUACGGAACGAAACGGUCCUGGUUAAUACCCGGGGCUAAUGACGGUACCGUAAGAAUAAGCACCGGCUAACUACGUGCCAGCCGCCGCCGUAA